rnacentral:ncRNA from 1 species
CUCAUCAAGAGCAGUGGAGGGACUGGCCCGAUGAAGCUGCGGAAACCAUUGAGCAAUCAAAAAGGUGCCAAUUCCUUUAGGUGAAUGAUUGAACCUAUAAGAUGAGA